CCAGCCGUAAACGAUGAAUGCUAGGUGUGGUUGCCGCAGGGCAUCCGUGCCGCAGUUAACGCGUUAAGCAUUCCGCCUGGGGAGUACGGUCGCAAGAUUGAAACUCAAAGGAAUUGACGGGGGCCCGCACAAGCGGUGGAGCACGUGGUUUAAUUCGAUGCAAACCGAAGAACCUUACCUGGGUUUGACAUGUACGUAUUAGGGGCAUGAAAGUGUCUUGACCCUAUUUUCGGAUGGGGAGCGUACACAGGUGC
rnacentral:rRNA from 1 species